GACGAACGCUGGCGGCGUGCUUAACACAUGCAAGUCGAACGGAAAGGCCCUGCUUUUGUGGGGUUCUCGAGUGGCGAACGGGUGAGUAACACGUGAGUAACCUGCCCUUGACUUUCGGAUAACUUCAGGAAACUGGGGCUAAUACCGGAUAGGAGCUCCUGCUGCAUGGUGGGGGUUGGAAAGUUUCGGCGGUUGGGGAUGGACUCGCGGCUUAUCAGCUUGUUGGUGGGGUAGUGGCUUACCGAGGCUUUGACGGGUAGCCGGCCUGAGAGGGUGACCGGCCACAUGGGGACUGCGAGACGGCCCAGACUCCUACAGGAGGCAGCAGGGGGGAAUAUGGCACAAUGGGCGGACGCCUGAUGCAGCAACGCCGCGUGCGGGAUGACGGCCUUCUGGUUGUAAACCGCUUUCGCCUGUGACGAAGCGUGAGUGACGGUAAUGGGUAAAGAAGCACCGGCUAACUACGUG
rnacentral:rRNA from 1 species